rnacentral:rRNA from 1 species
GACAGAGGCCCCGAGCGUUAUCCGGAUUUAUUGGGCGUAAAGCGUUCAACGGCGGCUUGACUAGUCGACGGUGAAAUCCUGGAGCUUAACUCCAGACCCGCCGCCGAAACUCUCAAGCUUGAGGAUGGGAGAGGCAAACGGAACUACCGGUGUAGUAGUAAAAUGCGUUCAUAUCGGUAGGAACACCAAUGGCGAAGGCAGUUUGCUGGAACAUUCCUGACACUCAACGAACGAAAGCGUGGGGAGCGAAUAGG